GGGCCCGCACAAGCGGUGGAGUAUGUGGUUUAAUUCGAGUGCAGCGCGAAGGGCCUUACCUGGCCUUGACAUGUCUGGAAUCCUGCAGAGAUGCGGGAGUGCCUUCGGGAAUCAGAACACAGGUGCUGCAUGGCUGUCGUCAGCUCGUGUCGUGAGAUGUUGGGCUAAGUCCCGCAACGAGCGCAACCCUUGUCCUUAGUUGCCAGCACGUAAUGGUGGGAACUCUAAGGAGACUGCCGGUGACAAACCGGAGGAAGGUGGGUAUGACGUCAAGUCCUCAUGGCCCUUACGGCCAGGGCUACACACGUACUACAAUGGUCGGUACAGAGGGUUGCAAUACCGCGAGGUGGAGCCAAUCCCAGAAAGCCGAUCUCAGUCCGGAUCGGAGUCUGCAACUCGACUCGGUGAAGUCGGAAUCGCUAGUAAUCGCGGAUCAGCUAUGCCGCGGUGAAUACGUUCCCGGGCCUUGUACACACCGCCCGUCACACCAUGGGAGUGAGUUUGCUCCAGAAGCCGUUAGUCUAACCGCAAGGAGGACGACGACCACGGAGUGGUUCAUGACUGGGGUG
rnacentral:rRNA from 1 species